AGUGAACGCUGGCGGCGUGCCUAAUACAUGCAAGUCGAACGAAGUGGCGCACGGGUGAGUAAUAUAUAGUUAAUCUGCCCUACACAGAGGAACAACAGUUGGAAACGACUGCUAAUACCUCAUAGUGUAGGAUGAGACUAUAUCGUGUCAGCUAGUUGGUCAGGUAAUGGCUUACCAAGGCUAUGACGCGUAACUGGUCUGAGAGGAUGAGCAGUACCAUCGGAACUGAGACACGGUCCACACUUCUACGGGAAGCAGCCGUGAGUAAUAUUGCGCAAUGGGCGAAACCCUGACGCACCAACGCCGCGUGGAGGAUGACACUUUUCGGAGCGUAAACUCCUUAUAUCAGGAAAGCGGUACCUGAUGAAUAAGCACCGGCUAACUCCGUGCCAGCCGCCGCGGUAAUUC
rnacentral:rRNA from 1 species